rnacentral:rRNA from 2 species
ACGAGUUCUGAUUAUUGAAAGGUGCUUGCAUCUUGAUUUAAUUUUGAACGAGUGGCGGACGGGUGAGUAACACGUGGGUAACCUGCCCUUAAGUGGGGGAUAACAUUUGGAAACAGAUGCUAAUACCGCAUAAAUCCAAGAACCGCAUGGUUCUUGGCUGAAAGAUGGCGUAAGCUAUCGCUUUUGGAUGGACCCGCGGCGUAUUAGCUAGUUGGUGAGGUAACGGCUCACCAAGGCAAUGAUACGUAGCCGAACUGAGAGGUUGAUCGGCCACAUUGGGACUGAGACACGGCCCAAACUCCUACGGGAGGCAGCAGUAGGGAAUCUUCCACAAUGGACGCAAGUCUGAUGGAGCAACGCCGCGUGAGUGAAGAAGGCUUUCGGGUCGUAAAACUCUGUUGUUGGAGAAGAAUGGUCGGCAGAGUAACUGUUGUCGGCGUGACGGUAUCCAACCAGAAAGCCACGGCUAACUACGUGCCAGCAGCCGCGGUAAUACGUAGGUGGCAAGCGUUAUCCGGAUUUAUUGGGCGUAAAGCGAGCGCAGGCGGUUUUUUAAGUCUGAUGUGAAAGCCCUCGGCUUAACCGAGGAAGUGCAUCGGAAACUGGGAAACUUGAGUGCAGAAGAGGACAGUGGAACUCCAUGUGUAGCGGUGAAAUGCGUAGAUAUAUGGAAGAACACCAGUGGCGAAGGCGGCUGUCUGGUCUGUAACUGACGCUGAGGCUCG